CGCAGCUUGAAAACAGCCUUGCAUAAUUGCAUCUGAAAUAUAAAGGGAAAACGACCAGAGAUAUUAUGUCUCUUCGCAAGGCUGUGCCUAAUUUGCUCCUCUCUGAUGAUUCUGUUUUCCAGGCUCUCUACAGUUUUCAACAAAACCCUUCAGCAGCAUCCGGCUAAUGUUGCUUUCUGAAAUGCUACAUUGAAGACAAAGGUUAAAUUUAAAGAGACUUCCCCGUGGCUUCCUUCCAAUGUAACAGUUUGCUGGAUGGUUGUACAAUCGAUGAUGCUGAGUCACCUGUUUGUCUUGUUCCAGGUGCUCUGGAGUCGACGCUUCUGAUCCAUGAAUCAAAAAUGUAGCAGAAUGUUCAAGCAUCCCUGGGCCCCUGCUCCGCCUCUUCUAUCAUUUGCUCCUCCGAAUUCUCCCUGACACCCGGCAUCCAAACAUCAACAGGAAGCCCUCGUGCCAAGUUUGGAGACAGCUGAACCUCUGCAAAAGAAAAAGGAAAGAAAAAAAGAGUGAAGUCA